CUGCUACCACCAUUUACAGUGAUCUGCUACAAAAAAGCCAAUCUUUUCUUUUCUUCAUUCAGAAAUUGGGGUGGAAUAAUUACAAGGUGGAGACAAACCAGAAACUUCUGAACUUUAGUCUUGCAAAGAGCUACUCUGUGGAUUGAAUAAACGUGGGUGAUCGACCAGACCCAAGCAAGCUACAAUUUGCACAUCUAUAGUUUCCCCCACUGAAGAUGAGCUUCCCUGAAGAAUGGAGGAUUUGCCGGUAGAAAAAGACCUGACCUUUGUUCCAGCAUUUAGAAGAAUGAUGAAGCUUCCAGACCCGAUGGUAUGGCUAAUGCGACAUACAGGUAGGGAGGGGUUUAUCUACGUAGCUGCGAAGAGGAGGUUUUCCUCAGCAUACAGCAUACUGAU